rnacentral:tRNA from 1 species
GGGGUUGUAGAUCAGCGGUAGAGCACUCACUUAGUACUUGGGAGACGCUGGGUUCGAUCCCCAGCACCACA